GCCAUGCCCGCUGGACUACCUGCUUGGGAAACAUACUUCUUUAUGUGCCCAUAUGGACCUGCUAAGCUAUGGAAUGUAAAGAAGUAUGUAUUUCAGGUCGGGAACUCUCUCGCUGGAGGAA
rnacentral:pre_miRNA from 8 species